UCCAUUUUUUCUGUGAUCCUCACUCUUUCUUACCUAAAAUUCAUUUAACCUAUCGACGACUCCAUACCCAUUCGGUAAAUCGGGUCUUUUAACUAGAUAUGAACCGUCUCCUUCUCUUCUUCUUUCUCUCUAGAGGCAAAGAUUUAUUUGGACCAUCAUCGCUCUCUUAGGCAACCCGUGUGCUCCAAUCUGUAUCUUACCAUCGCUUCUACUUGUUAUUUUCUUUGGAAUACUUAAUAGACACUGCAAAAUUUUCACAAGCACUAGUGGGAGUCGAUUAACACUUUUACUGUCACAAACGGAUCCUGGCUUACGAGGAAGAUAAUGGAACAAGCUGAUGUCAUGGAUGUUUAAGAAGCUUUUAGUUGGACAAGUGUCUUUCCUUAUGUCUUUCUUUGCAUGUAACCAUGCUAAAUCCUGAAUUUGUAUGUGAAUUCUAGGCUUUAGUACGUCUCCGGUGUACGAAUCUUCUUCUUCUGACCUUCCAAAUUGGCCCCUUUGGUUUCAAUAGAGCAGGCUACCUACAUCAAUAAAGUCUUAAAAUAAUGCAGAUACUUUUAUCAUCAAGAUAUCUUGACAAGAUAGAACAUGCUCUUCUAAAUUUGCUUAAGAUGCAAGAGAGAUUGGUAUUUUACGUUGAAUUAGACCGAGUAUUGUGAUGGAAUGAUUGCAACAAGCCCAUUAUCAAGAUACAGUUUUCUAAAUUUGCUUCAGAUACAAUUUUCUUUUUUUAUUGUACUUUAUUUUAUGUUCACCGCUUUGUAUACUUGAUGGGUUGAUGAUGAUUAUGAAUAUUUCAAUUAACCAA